CCGCGAGAAAUCCGAGAGAGAGGUCAAUGUGGUAAGCUCUCCGUUUAGAUGUGUACUGAAGGAAUCUUCCUGAUCCAACAGUACCCAUCUGGCAGAGACUGAGCCUUUGAACGGAGACGGAGCCUUAGGGAGGCCGGUUUCGGGAGGGAAAUCCAGCCUGAAGACUCUGCUGCAUACAUGAGCCUGGACAGGAAUCGAUACUUUCCAUUUGGAUACUCCCUCACCCCUUCUGUCAAGGAGGACAUACAAUAUACCCUCAGAGACCAAUUCAA